rnacentral:rRNA from 1 species
UAGGGAAUCUUCGGCAAUGGACGGAAGUCUGACCGAGCAACGCCGCGUGAGUGAAGAAGGUUUUCGGAUCGUAAAGCUCUGUUGUAAGAGAAGAACGAGUGUGAGAGUGGAAGGUUCACACUGUGACGGUAUCUUACCAGAAAGGGACGGCUAACUACGUGCCAGCAGCCGCGGUAAUACGUAGGUCCCGAGCGUUGUCCGGAUUUAUUGGGCGUAAAGCGAGCGCAGGCGGUUAGAUAAGUCUGAAGUUAAAGGCUGUGGCUUAACCAUAGUAGGCUUUGGAAACUGUUUAACUUGAGUGCAAGAGGGGAGAGUGGAAUUCCAUGUGUAGCGGUGAAAUGCGUAGAUAUAUGGAGGAACACCGGUGGCGAAAGCGGCUCUCUGGCUUGUAACUGACGCUGAGGCUCGAAAGCGUGGGGAGCAAACAGGAUUAGAUACCCUGGUAGUCCACGCUGUAAACGAUGAGUGCUAGGUGUUAGACCCUUUCCGGGGUUUAGUGCCGUAGCUAACGCAUUAAGCACUCCGCCUGGGGAGUACGACCGCAAGGUUG